rnacentral:rRNA from 1 species
UACGGGGGGAGCAAGCGUUGUUCGGAUUUACUGGGCGUAAAGGGCGCGUAGGCGGCCAGCGCAAGUCAGUUGUGAAAUCUCCGGGCUUAACUCGGAACGGUCAACUGAUACUGCGCGGCUAGAGUGCAGAAGGGGCAACUGGAAUUCUCGGUGUAGCGGUGAAAUGCGUAGAUAUCGAGAGGAACACCGGUGGCGAAGGCGGGUCUCUGGGCAACAACUGACGCUGAGGAGCGAAAGCGUGGGGAGCGAACAGG